rnacentral:rRNA from 1 species
UAAGGAAUAUUGGUCAAUGGACGAAAGUCUGAACCAGCCAUGCCGCGUGGAGGAUGAAGGUCCUCUGGAUUGUAAACUUCUUUUAUUUGGGACGAAAAAGGAUCAUUCUUGAUCACCUGACGGUACCAGAUGAAUAAGCACCGGCUAACUCCGUGCCAGCAGCCGCGGUAAUACGGAGGGUGCAAGCGUUAUCCGGAUUUACUGGGUUUAAAGGGUGCGCAGGCGGAUAUGUAAGUCAGUGGUGAAAUCUCUAGGCUUAACCUGGAAAUUGCCGUUGAUACUAUAUAUCUUGAAUGCUGUGGAGGUAAGCAGAAUAUGUCAUGUAGCGGUGAAAUGCUUAGAUAUGACAUAGAAUACCUAUUGCGAAGGCAGCUUACUACGCAGAUAUUGACGCUCAUGCACGAAAGCGUGGGGAUCAAACAGGAUUAGAUACCCGUGUAGUCC